rnacentral:rRNA from 1 species
GUGGAUUAGAUACCCCGGUAGUCCACGCCCUAAACGAUGUCAACUAGUUGUUGGUAGAGUAAAAUCUAUGAGUAACGCAGCUAACGCGUGAAGUUGACCGCCUGGGGAGUACGAUCGCAAGAUUAAAACUCAAAUGAAUUGACGGGGGCCCGCACAAGCGGUGGAUUAUGUGGAUUAAUUCGAUGCAACGCGAAAAACCUUACCUGGCCUUGACAUGUACCGAAUUUGGGAGAGAUUCCUUAGUGCUCGAAAGAGAGCGGUAACACAGGUGCUGCACGGCCGUCGACAACU